rnacentral:rRNA from 1 species
CCUACGGGGUGCAGCAGUGGGGAAUAUUGGACAAUGGGCGAAAGCCUGAUCCAGCCAUGCCGCGUGUGUGAAGAAGGCCUUCGGGUUGUAAAGCACUUUCAGUGGGGAAGAAAGCCUUGGGGCUAAUACCCUCGAGGAAGGACAUCACCCACAGAAGAAGCACCGGCUAACUCCGUGCCAGCAGCCGCGGUAAUACGGAGGGUGCGAGCGUUAAUCGGAAUUACUGGGCGUAAAGCGCGCGUAGGCGGUCUGAUAAGCCGGUUGUGAAAGCCCCGGGCUCAACCUGGGAACGGCAUCCGGAACGGUCAGGCUAGAGUGCAGGAGAGGAAGGUAGAAUUCCCGGUGUAGCGGUGAAAUGCGUAGAGAUCGGGAGGAAUACCAGUGGCGAAGGCGGCCUUCUGGACUGACACUGACGCUGAGGUGCGAAAGCGUGGGUAGCAAACAGGAUUAGAUACCCCAGUAGUC